rnacentral:lncRNA from 1 species
CAUGAACCGUUCAACCAAAGCUUUUUAAAUUUUAAUAUGUUAUUACUGACAACUAUACGAAGGUCAAGUUCAAUAAUGGCGAUUUUGACUUUUACCGUUCAGGAGUUAUGGUUCUUGAAAGGCGGCAAUCAAAUGUUGUCCGUGCAUUAACUCAUGAACCGGUCAACCAAAGCUUUAAAAUUUUAAUAUGUUAUUACUGACAACUAUAUGGAGGUCAAGUUAAAUAAUGGCGAUUUUGACUUUUACCGUUCAGGAGUUAUGGUUCUUGAAAGAUUGAAAAAUGGAGUUUUCAGUCGUGUCCGUGCAUUUACUCAUGAACUGUUCUACUAAAGCUUCCCAAAUUUUAAUAUGUUGUUACUGAUGACAGAAUGGAGGUCAAGUUCAAUAAUGACGAUUUUGACUUUUACCGUUCAGGAGUUAUGGUUCUUGAAAGAUUGAAAAAUGGAGUUUCCAGUCGUGUCCGUGCAUUUAUGCAUGAACUGUUCUACCAAAGCUUCCGAAAUUUUAAUAUGCUGUUACUGAUGACAAAAUGGAGGUCAAGUUCAAUAAUGACGAUUUUGACUUUUACCGUUCAUGAGUUAUGGUUCUUGAAAGAUUGAAAAAUGGUGUUUCCCGUCGUGUCCGUGCAUUUUCUCAUGAACCAUUCCACCAAAGCUUUUGAAAUUUUAAUAUGUUGUUACUGAUGACAAAAUAGAGGUCAAGUUCCAUAAUGACGAUUUUGACUUUUACUGUUCAGGAGUUAUGGUUCUUGAAAGAUUGUAAAAUGGCGUUUCCAUUCACGUUGUUGCAUUUACUCAUGAACCAUUCAAUCUAAGCUUUUCAAAUAUUAUUAUUUCAAAAUGUUGAUACUGAUGACAAAAUGGAGGUCAAAUUUGAUAUUGAUGAUUUUCACUUUCACCAUUCAUCAGUAAUGGUUCUUGUGAUAUUGCCAGGACACAAA